GUUGUAUGGUUAAGUGACUAAGCGUACACGGUGGAUGCCUUGGCAGUCAGAGGCGAUGAAGGACGUAGUAACUUGCGAUAAGCCCAGAUAAGGUAGUAACAACCUGUGAGUCUGGGAUUUCCGAAUGGGGAAACCCACUAGCACAAGCUAGUAUCGCUGAGUGAAUACAUAGCUCAGCGAGGCGAACCGGGGGAACUGAAACAUCUAAGUACCCCGAGGAGAAGAAAUCAACCGAGAUUCCGAAAGUAGCGGCGAGCGAAAUUGGAUUAGCCCUUAAGCUUUAUAUGCGUUAGACGAACGGUCUGGAAAGUCCGGCGAUACAGGGUGAUAGCCCCGUAGUCGACAACGCACAUUCAGUGAAAACGAGUAGGGCGGGACACGUGUUAUCCUGUCUGAAUAUGGGGGGACCAUCCUCCAAGGCUAAAUACUCCUGACUGACCGAUAGUGAACCAGUACCGUGAGGGAAAGGCGAAAAGAACCCCUGUGAGGGGAGUGAAAUAGAACCUGAAACCGUGUACGUACAAGCAGUAGGAGCAGGCUUUGUCCUGUGACUGCGUACCUUUUGUAUAAUGGGUCAGCGACUUAUAUUCAGUGGCAAGGUUAACCAUCUAGGGGAGCCGUAGGGAAACCGAGUCUUAACUGGGCGUUCAGUCUCUGGAUAUAGACCCGAAACCGGGUGAUCUAGCCAUGGGCAGGUUGAAGGUUGAGUAACAUCAACUGGAGGACCGAACCGACUAAUGUUGAAAAAUUAGCGGAUGACUUGUGGCUAGGGGUGAAAGGCCAAUCAAACUCGGAGAUAGCUGGUUCUCCCCGAAAGCUAUUUAGGUAGCGCCUCGGACGAAUACUACUGGGGGUAGAGCACUGUUAAGGCUAGGGGGUCAUCCCGACUUACCAACCCUUUGCAAACUCCGAAUACCAGUAAGUACUAUCCGGGAGACACACGGCGGGUGCUAACGUCCGUCGUGGAGAGGGAAACAACCCAGACCGCCAGCUAAGGUCCCAAAUUAUAGCUAAGUGGGAAACGAUGUGGGAAGGCUUAGACAGCUAGGAUGUUGGCUUAGAAGCAGCCAUCAUUUAAAGAAAGCGUAAUAGCUCACUAGUCGAGUCGGCCUGCGCGGAAGAUGUAACGGGGCUAAGCUAUAAACCGAAGCUGCGGCAAUGAAGUUUACUUCAUUGGGUAGGGGAGCGUUCUGUAAGCCGUUGAAGGUGUGUUGUAAAGCAUGCUGGAGGUAUCAGAAGUGCGAAUGCUGACAUGAGUAACGAUAAAGGGGGUGAAAAACCUCCUCGCCGGAAGACCAAGGGUUCCUGUCCAACGUUAAUCGGGGCAGGGUGAGUCGACCCCUAAGGCGAGGCCGAAAGGCGUAGUCGAUGGGAAACGGGUUAAUAUUCCCGUACUCAAUCAAAUUGCGAUGGGGGGACGGAGAAGGCUAGGUGGGCCUGGCGACGGUUGUCCAGGUUCAAGUGCGUAGGCUGAAGGUUUAGGUAAAUCCGGACCUUCUUAAGGCUGAGACACGACGUCGAGCACCUACGGGUGUGAAGUCAUUGAUGCCAUGCUUCCAGGAAAAGCCUCUAAGCUUCAGAUUUGAUGGAAUCGUACCCCAAACCGACACAGGUGGUCGGGUAGAGAAUACCAAGGCGCUUGAGAGAACUCGGGUGAAGGAACUAGGCAAAAUGGUACCGUAACUUCGGGAGAAGGUACGCUCUUAUUGGUGAAGUCCCUUGCGGAUGGAGCUGACGAGAGUCGCAGAUACCAGGUGGCUGCAACUGUUUAUUAAAAACACAGCACUGUGCAAAAUCGCAAGAUGACGUAUACGGUGUGACGCCUGCCCGGUGCCGGAAGGUUAAUUGAUGGGGUUAGUGGUAACACGAAGCUCUUGAUCGAAGCCCCGGUAAACGGCGGCCGUAACUAUAACGGUCCUAAGGUAGCGAAAUUCCUUGUCGGGUAAGUUCCGACCUGCACGAAUGGCGUAAUGAUGGCCACGCUGUCUCCACCCGAGACUCAGUGAAAUUGAAAUCGCUGUGAAGAUGCAGUGUACCCGCGGCUAGACGGAAAGACCCCGUGAACCUUUACUACAGCUUGGCACUGAACAUUGACCCUACAUGUGUAGGAUAGGUGGGAGGCUUUGAAGCGCAGACGCUAGUUUGUGUGGAGCCGUCCUUGAAAUACCACCCUUGUAGUGUUGAUGUUCUAACUUGGUCCCCUAAUCGGGGAUGAGGACAGUGCCUGGUGGGUAGUUUGACUGGGGCGGUCUCCUCCCAAAGAGUAACGGAGGAGCACGAAGGUGGGCUAAUCACGGUUGGACAUCGUGAGGUUAGUGCAAUGGCAUAAGCCCGCUUAACUGCGAGAAUGACGGUUCGAGCAGGUGCGAAAGCAGGUCAUAGUGAUCCGGUGGUUCUGAAUGGAAGGGCCAUCGCUCAACGGAUAAAAGGUACUCCGGGGAUAACAGGCUGAUACCGCCCAAGAGUUCAUAUCGACGGCGGUGUUUGGCACCUCGAUGUCGGCUCAUCACAUCCUGGGGCUGAAGUCGGUCCCAAGGGUAUGGCUGUUCGCCAUUUAAAGUGGUACGCGAGCUGGGUUUAGAACGUCGUGAGACAGUUCGGUCCCUAUCUGCCGUGGGCGUUGGAAGAUUGAAGGGGGCUGCUCCUAGUACGAGAGGACCGGAGUGGACGAACCUCUGGUGUUCGGGUUGUGUCGCCAGACGCAUUGCCCGGUAGCUAAGUUCGGAAUUGAUAACCGCUGAAAGCAUCUAAGCGGGAAGCAAGCCCUGAGAUGAGUCUUCCCUGACACUUUAAGUGUCCUAAAGGGUUGUUCGAGACUAGAACGUUGAUAGGCAGGGUGUGUAAGCGUUGUGAGGCGUUGAGCUAACCUGUACUAAUUGCCCGUGAGGCUUAACCAUACAACACCCAAAGGGUUUUG
rnacentral:rRNA from 1 species